GGGCUUGUGGUUUAGUGGUAUAAUACUCCCUUAGCAUCUGUCUCCUAGCGAGAUGAGGAGCAUGGGAGUGGUCCGGGGUUCGAUUCCCCGCGAGUCCA
rfam:Microdochium bolleyi strain J235TASD1 unplaced genomic scaffold Micbo1qcscaffold_5, whole genome shotgun sequence.